UGCGUAGGUGGCGCCGUAAGUCAGGUGUGAAAUUUCGGAGCUUAACUCCGAAGCUGCAUUUGAUACUGCGGUGCUUGAGGACUGGAGAGGAGACUGGAAUUUACGGUGUAGCAGUGAAAUGCGUAGAGAUCGUAAGGAAGACCAGUGGCGAAGGCGGGUCUCUGGACAGUUCCUGACACUGAGGCACCAAGGGGCCAGGGGAAGGCAAACG
rnacentral:rRNA from 1 species